UGAUUAAUAGUUAUGUUCUUUAAAGCUAAAUAAUUUGGCGGUAGUUUAAACUUUUCAGAGGAACCUGUUCUAUAAACGAUACUCCACGAUUAAAUUAACUUUGAUUAGAAAUUUUUAUAUCAUUGUUGUUAAAUAUUUUAUUAGAAUAUAAUAUUUAAAAUUUCUUAAUAAAGAAAAAAAUCAAAUCAAGGUGAAGUUUAUAUUAAAGAAGAAAUGGGUUACAUUAAAUUUUAUUUAUGAAUUAUUGUUUUGAAAAAACUUAUGAAAUUGGAUUUGAAGGUAAUUAAAUGAUA
rnacentral:rRNA from 1 species